UUAAAUGCUAUGAAAAGAAUAAGUAAGAUUAAUGUAGUCUUUCAGAGAGUUUCCGGUUGGUGAAAGGAAAUAGACAAGUUAAUUUGAAUACAUCUUUGAGCUGUAAUCCCCAAAGAUAACAACUAGUAGGGAUUAACGUAUUGGCACACGUUACAGUGUUAAAGUAUAACCAAAAUUUGGCGUACUUAUUAAGGUCAAUAUUGUGAGAUAUUGAUGAACUAAGGUGGUAACACGUAAGCAAUGCUUUCGUCCUUUAU
rnacentral:ncRNA from 1 species